rnacentral:tRNA from 1 species
AGGGUAGUAGCUCCAAUGGUAGAGCGUCGGUCUCCAAAACCGAGUGUUGGGGGUUCGAGUCCCUCCUGCCCUG